rnacentral:rRNA from 1 species
UAAAAGCUUGCAUUAAGCAAUUAGUGUAGUGCACUUAUCGGAGCAAAAUCAUUCCUGGUUUUUUGCUAACUCUGGAUAACACUGCUUAUCGCACGACCUUGUGUCGGCGAAGUUACAUUCAAGUAUCUGCCUUAUCAACUAUCGUUGGUAGUGUAUUGGACUACCAUGGUGUUGACGGGUAACGGAGAAUCAGGGUUCGACUCCGGAGAGGGAGCCUUAGAAACGGCUACCAUGUCUAAGGACAGCAGCAGGCGCGCAACUUAUCCACUGUUCAUUGAACGAGAUAGUGACGAGAAAUAACAAGCCCGUUCUCUUUGAGGUCGGGCAUUGGAAUGGAUGGAAUCUAAACAGUUCCAUGAGUAUCAACGAGAGGGCAAGUCUGGUGCCAGCAGCCGCGGUAAUUCCAGCUCUCGUAAUGUAUAGAAUUAUUGUUGCGGUUAAAAAGUUCGUAGUUGGAUUUUCUACCGUUCGGCGGUUGGGUUUAACGACUCAGACUGUCGGCGGUUUUUGCGCUAUGACUGGCUUGCUAGUCUUAGUGCGGAUUACUUUGAACGGCUUAAGUGCUCAAGGCGAGUCUUCGGACUGAAUACCGGUGCAUGGAAUAAUGGAACAAGGUCACGGCCGAGUUUUAUUGGUUUUGUCGGCUGAGACAAUGGUUAACAGAAACAGCUGGGGGCACUCGUAUCGCUGCGCGAGAGGUGAAAUUUCGUGGA